rnacentral:rRNA from 1 species
GAAUAUUGGACAAUGGACGCAAGUCUGAUGCAGCAACGCCGCGUGCUCGAUGAAGGCCUUCGGGUUGUAAAGGGCUUUUCGGGGAGAAGAGCAAGGACGGAAUCCCCGGAAUAAGGAUCGGCUAACUACGUGCCAGCAGCCGCGGUAAAACGUAGGAUCCGAGCGUUAUCCGAAUUCACUGGGCGUAAAGCGCGUGCAGGCGGCCGGGCAAGUUGGAUGUGAAAGCUCCUGGCUCAACUGGGAGAGGACGUUCAAGACUGUUCGGCUCGAGGCCGGUAGAGGGAAGUGGAAUUCCCGGUGUAGUGGUGAAAUGCGUAGAUAUCGGGAGGAACACCAGAGGCGAAGGCGGCUUCCUGGACCGGACCUGACGCUCAGACGCGAAAGCUAGGGGAGCGAACGG